rnacentral:rRNA from 1 species
CAGUCGCCGCGGUAAUACGAAGGGUGCAAGCGUUAAUCGGAAUUACUGGGCGUAAAGCGUGCGUAGGCGGUGAGUUAAGUCUGCUGUGAAAUCCCCGGGCUCAACCUGGGAAUGGCAGUGGAUACUGGCUCGCUAGAGUGUGUCAGAGGGGGGUGGAAUUCCGCGUGUAGCAGUGAAAUGCGUAGAUAUGCGGAGGAACACCGAUGGCGAUGGCAGCCCCCUGGGCCAACACUGACGCUCAUGCACGAAAGCGUGGGGAGCAAACAGGAUUAGAUACCCCUGUAGUCCCUGUCUCUUAUAU